UACGAAGGUCCCAAGCGUUAUCCGGAUUUAUUGGGUUUAAAGGGUGCGUAGGCGGCGCGGUAAGUCGGGUGUGAAAUCUUGGAGCUUAACUCCGAAACUGCAUUCGAUACUGCCGUGCUUGAGGACUGGAGAGGAGACUGGAAUUUACGGUGUAGCGGUGAAAUGCGUAGAUAUCGUAAGGAAGACCAGUGGCGAAGGCGGGUCUCUGGACAGUUCCUGACGCUGAGGCACGAAGGCCAGGGGAGCAAACGGG
rnacentral:rRNA from 1 species